CCUACGGGCGGCAGCAGUGGGGAAUAUUGGACAAUGGGCGAAAGCCUGAUCCAGCCAUGCCGCGUGUGUGAAGAAGGCCUUCGGGUUGUAAAGCACUUUCAGUGGGGAAGAAAGCCUUGGGGCUAAUACCCUCGAGGAAGGACAUCACCCACAGAAGAAGCACCGGCUAACUCCGUGCCAGCAGCCGCGGUAAUACGGAGGGUGCGAGCGUUAAUCGGAAUUACUGGGCGUAAAGCGCGCGUAGGCGGUCUGAUAAGCCGGUUGUGAAAGCCCCGGGCUCAACCUGGGAACGGCAUCCGGAACUGUCAGGCUAGAGUGCAGGAGAGGAAGGUAGAAUUCCCGGUGUAGCGGUGAAAUGCGUAGAGAUCGGGAGGAAUACCAGUGGCGAAGGCGGCCUUCUGGACUGACACUGACGCUGAGGUGCGAAAGCGUGGGUAGCAAACAGGAUUAGAUACCCCAGUGUC
rnacentral:rRNA from 1 species